rnacentral:rRNA from 1 species
CACCGGGGAAGAUAAUGACGGUACCCGGAGAAGAAGCCCCGGCUAACUUCGUGCCAGCAGCCGCGGUAAUACGAAGGGGGCUAGCGUUGCUCGGAAUUACUGGGCGUAAAGGGCGCGUAGGCGGUCAGCGCAAGUCAGUUGUGAAAUCUCCGGGCUUAACCCGGAUCGGUCAACUGAUACUGCGCGACUAGAGUGCAGAAGGGGCAACUGGAAUUCUCGGUGUAGCGGUGAAAUGCGUAGAUAUCGAGAGGAACACCUGCGGCGAAGGCGGGUUGCUGGGCUGACACUGACGCUGAGGCGCGAAAGCUAGGGGAGCGAACGGGAUUAGAUACCCCGGUAGUCCUAGCCUUAAACGAUGAAUGCUUGGUGUCUCGGGUUCUGAAGUCCCGGGGUGCCGUCGCUAACGCUGUAAGCAUUCCGCCUGGGGAGUACGGUCGCAAGACUGAAACUCAAAGGAAUUGACGGGGACCCGCACAAGCGGUGGAGCAUGUGGUUUAAUUCGACGCAACGCGAAGAACCUUACCUGGGCUAGAAUGCCUCUGACCGGCGUGGAGACACGCCUUCCUGGGUAACACCAGGCAGAGUGCAAGGUGCUGCAUGGCUGUCGUCAGCUCGUGUCG